AAACCCACAAACCUCUCUGUUUCUUCUAUUAGGACUAUCCAAAGCUCUCUUCUCUUGUUCUUCCUCUGCUUCUUCUUCUUCUUCUUGACCUUCCUGUUUCUUCUUCUUCAAUCCAA
rnacentral:sRNA from 1 species